rnacentral:miRNA from 1 species
UUAUCUGUCCAAGGCUGCAAAU